UUCUCUCCACCUUCAACCUCAAGAACACUAAGGAGACUUGGAAGCUAAGCUUGGUCUAGGAAGGGUUUUCCCUAAGGUAAAGUUUCAAUAAUAUAGACCUUUGUAAAGUUUAUUCAUAGAGUUCCAAAUAGCUAAUUAUCUAUGUUGUUAAGGGGAGUUGGUUAGGGUUUUUAAAAGGAUUUGAAGGAGCUAAAGCUAGUAGGAAGAUCCACACCUUAAGCAAGAACACCAAAGAGGUAAGUGCAAGGGCAAGGCAGAGCAGUGAGCGCUGGAAUCUACCUUGCAAAUGUACAUGUGGACCGACCUUUUGGGAAGUCGUUUUAUUUUUAGAAAUGUUGUGUAAUUUUCCUAAACUAGGCUCACUCUACUCGUUAUAAAAUAUGUUUGUAAAUAAAUGUUAAGUAUGGCCAUACGACUUUUUAAA